AUGCUUACUUGGCAGGAGAGAUACCGUAAUAACGAAAAGUGGUUUUCCCAGGGCGAGGCUGAUCCACUGCACUCGGGACCUACUGACCCGUGUGAUUCCCCUACAUGGGGGAAACUCGAGUACAUAAUUUGUGUUGGUGAGGAGUUGUGUGCGCGCUUUCUCCC